UGCGAUCAUACCAGCACUAAUGCACCGGAUCCCAUCAGAACUCCGCAGUUAAGCGUGCUUGGGCGAGAGUAGUACUAGGAUGGGUGACCCCCUGGGAAGUCCUCGUGUCGCA
rnacentral:rRNA from 1 species